rnacentral:rRNA from 1 species
GACGAACGCUGGCGGCGUGCCUAAUACAUGCAAGUAGAACGCUGAAGGAGGAGCUUGCUUCUCUGGAUGAGUUGCGAACGGGUGAGUGACGCGUAGGUAACCUGCCUGGUAGCGGGGGAUAACUAUUGGAAACGAUAGCUAAUACCGCAUAAUAGCAGUUGUUGCAUGACAACUGUUUGAAAGGUGCAAUUGCACCACUACCAGAUGGACCUGCGUUGUAUUAGCUAGUUGGUGGGGUAACGGCUCACCAAGGCGACGAUACAUAGCCGACCUGAGAGGGUGAUCGGCCACACUGGGACUGAGACACGGCCCAGACUCCUACGGGAGGCAGCAGUAGGGAAUCUUCGGCAAUGGACGGAAGUCUGACCGAGCAACGCCGCGUGAGUGAAGAAGGUUUUCGGAUCGUAAAGCUCUGUUGUAAGAGAAGAACGAGUGUGAGAGUGGAAAGUUCACACUGUGACGGUAUCUUACCAGAAAGGGACGGCUAACUACGUG